GAUGAACGCUGGCGGCGUGCCUAAUACAUGCAAGUCGAGCGAACGGACGAGAAGCUUGCUUCUCUGAUGUUAGCGGCGGACGGGUGAGUAACACGUGGAUAACCUACCUAUAAGACUGGGAUAACUUCGGGAAACCGGAGCUAAUACCGGAUAAUAUUUUGAACCGCAUGGUUCAAAAGUGAAAGACGGUCUUUCUGUCACUUAUAGAUGGAUCCGCGCUUCAUUAGCUAGUUGGUAAGGUAACGGCUUACCAAGGCAACGAUGCAUAGCCGACCUGAGAGGGGGAUCGGCCACACUGGAACGGAGACACGGUCCAGACUCCUGCGGGAGGCAGCAGUAGGGAAUCUUCCGCAAUGGGGGAAAGCCUGACGGAGCAACGCCGCGUGAGUGAUGAAGGUCUUCGGAUCGUAAAACUCUGUUAUUAGGGAAGAACAUAUGUGUAAGUAACUGUGCACAUCUUGACGGUACCUAAUCAGAAAGCCACGGCUAACUACGUG
rnacentral:rRNA from 1 species